rnacentral:rRNA from 1 species
GAUGAACGCUGGCGGCGUGCCUAAUACAUGCAAGUCGAGCGAACAGACGAGGAGCUUGCACCUCUGACGUUAGCGGCGGACGGGUGAGUAACACGUGGAUAACCUACCUAUAAGACUGGGAUAACUUCGGGAAACCGGAGCUAAUACCGGAUAAUAUAUUGAACCGCAUGGUUCAAUAGUGAAAGACGGUUUUGCUGUCACUUAUAGAUGGAUCCGCGCCGCAUUAGCUAGUUGGUAAGGUAACGGCUUACCAAGGCAACGAUGCGUAGCCGACCUGAGAGGGUGAUCGGCCACACUGGAACUGAGACACGGUCCAGACUCCUACGGGGGGCAGCAGUAGGGAAUCUUCCGCAAUGGGCGAAAGCCUGACGGAGCAACGCCGCGUGAGUGAUGAAGGUCUUCGGAUCGUAAAACUCUGUUAUUAGGGAAGAACAAAUGUGUAAGUAACUAUGCACGUCUUGACGGUACCUAAUCAGAAAGCCACGGCUAACUACG